CAGGGGACGGGAGUACGUCCUGUCAUUUAACGUUGAAAAAGUUCGCACCCUGUCUUCGAAUCGAGUGUGACUUUCUCCAUAUUCUAAUCUCUGUUGAAGAUAAAACGACGUUGGAAAAGUUCGCAGCCCUGUCUCCGAAUCGAUUGUGACUUUUUCUCCAUAUUCUAAUCUUUGUUGAUUAUAAAACAACGGAAUCUCUUGGAACAUAAAACGAUGAGAAACAACACGAAGGAUCUUUCAUCGUUGGAUUUCUUUAUUAAGAAUGCGGCGAAUACGAGAUGGUCGGUUUCAAAUGAGUGGCGACGCGACUUAUUUAAUUGGUACUGUCUACAUGUCAUAAAGUAAACAAGAAAAGAGAAAGAGAAGAGAGACGAGAAGCAGGCUUGAUAAUUCUGUGAAAAGGAGGAGGAAGAAGAAAAGGAGGAAGCUUAGGAAAAGCAAUGGAGCAAUUUUGCGAACUAUGUAGCCACGUAGCUGAUAACUCUACUGCUACGCAUUAGUCGGUGAGUGAUAAAGAUUUUAUCAGGUAACAAAUCUGUGAAAAAUAAAGAUUUUAUCAGGUAACAAAUCUGUGAAAAAUGU
rnacentral:lncRNA from 1 species